rnacentral:rRNA from 1 species
ACGUAGGUGACAAGCGUUAUCCGGAUUUACUGGGUGUAAAGGGCGUGUAGGCGGGUCUGCAAAUCGGAUGUGAAAUUCCCCGGAAUAACACGAGCAGGGCAUCCGAAACUGCGGAUCUUGAGUACUGGAGAGGAUAGUGGAAUUCCUAGUGUAGCGGUAAAAUGCGUAGAUAUUAGGAGGAACACCAGUGGCGAAGGCGGCUAUCUGGACAGUAACUGACGCUGAGGCGCGAAAGCGUGUGGAGCAAACAG